AAUUUUGGACAAUGGGGGGAGCCCUGAUCCAGCCAUCCCGCGUGUGCGACGAAGGCCUUCGGUUUGUAAAGCACUUUUCGCAGGGAAGAAAUCGAAUAGGAUAAUACCCUGUGUGGAUGACGGUACCUGCAGAAUAAGCACCGCCUAACUACGUGCCAGCAGCCGCGGUAAUACGUAGGGUGCAAGCGUUAAUCGGAAUUACUGGGCUGAACGGGUGAGCAGGCGGAUCGGAAAGAAAGAGGUAGAAUCCCAGGGCUUAACCUUGGAACUGCAUUUUUAACUAACGGGCUAGAGUGUGUCAGAGGGAGGUGGAAGUCCGCGUGUAGCAGUGAAAUGCGUAGAUAUGCGGAGGAACACCGAUGGCGAAGGCAGCCUCCUGGGAUAAUACUGACGCUCAGACACGAAAGCGUGGGGAGCAAACAG
rnacentral:rRNA from 1 species